UUGAUCUUUCAAAUCCACCUUGAGAGGGAUUGUUGUGGGAUUGAAGCCUCCCCAUCCUUGUUGGUUUACACCUUAUACUUUUCAUCUCCAUAGUGAAGUUCCGUGCUCGCCGCCGUCCGUGGUUUUUCUCCGCAAGGGGUUUUCACAUAAAUCUCUGUGUCUCCCCUUGAUUUGGUGAUGCCCUUGCUAUAUGUGUUGUUGUUCAUCAUCUCUAUUUGCUAUUGGCAUCUAUUGCUUAAGUUUGAUGCUAUUUAGUUGAGUUGAUACUUGAAGCAAGUCAUACUUGUGUGCUUUGUUAUAUGGAUGAUUCUAUUGGGGUAUUGAUGUUCUAGUAAGCUAUCAUUGCAGCUGUUAAUCUUGUGUGCAGGUUUGAGAACUCGGUGUACUUGAUAUACCGGUUCAGAUUUGUUCUAUGCACAAAAAGUGUUUGUUGAAAUGGUUACGAGGAACAGGUUGCUGUUUUGAAGGUGAUCAAGGUGGGAGUGUCAGUAAGCCCGACAGAACUGACCAAUAGGAAGCAUAUGAUCAACACCUCGCUGUAUCUCUCUUUUUAUAUAUUGACGGUAGACUUGAAACUAGAACAAAUAUACUCCUCUUACCGGGUGGGUCCGGAUCUGGACUUGUCAGACCCGUCCGGCCAAAAAAUUUACCAAUUACAGACCUGCGGGUAAUAGUUUUUGCCUAACCCGUAUGCUAAUCGGUCCAGACCGGUCAGGUAUUCGGGUAUCGGGUACCCAUUGCCAUCCAUAUAUAAUCAUAAAAUCUCAAGAAAGAGAACCAACCAUAGGUUGGAUGGUUCGAGUAAUUAAAAAAAGGAUUGAAUGAUUCUACAGAUAUUACGCUCUCUGUAUCUCAUUUCAGAUGGAUUUCGAGGCUUCGUCUGGUCAGCUGAAACCCAAUUAAAGCUUGAACCCUAGAUUUGACGAUCUGUGUGUGGCAUUUUAGAUAGAUUUCUUUGUGAUAGGUGACUUCUCCAACCGACAGCCAACUGUACAAGUCAAAUGGCUCCAACUGUAUAAUCAUAGGCGGAGACAAGCCCCAGGCAAGGGGGCCACGGCCUGGGGCUUGAACCUUCUUUUCUUUGGUAAAUUGUGACAAUUUGAAGUUUGGCCUGGAUCUUUCCCUCCUUAAUUGCUUUUUCUUAGUCAAAUACACUACGAUGGCUCUGCUCUAAGCUAGUUCCUGGCUCUGCCGCCAUGUACAAUUAGAGGUAACAGCAGAAAGUAAUUACA